GUGCCUGCAGCACGGGCGCCCUAGAAAGGGAAACCUGUUUUCCUCCUCCCAGGUUUCUGGUUUCUCCACCUAGUCUCCCCACAGUCCUUCACUGCCCGCACCCAGAGUCCUUCCGGCCUCUACCCAGACUCUGAGAAGUGGCCCGACAUUCCAGGUAACCUGAUUCCCCAGACGGGAUAGGCGGCGGCCUGCUGCUGCGAAGGCGCGACCACGUGACCUUUCCUGCCUGCACCGGGGAAAUGCAUACCUUGUUCAGAAAACUAGGGGACAGGCAGAUCUGCUGUUAGAGAAUUCUUCUGCCCUAACUGUGUCUCUGUGAUCUGUGGAUGAGGGUGGGAAAGGACCGCUCAAUCAAUUGGGGUAUACAAAAUGGAGUUUGAGAAGUGGUUGGACUGAGUCCCAUGAAGGCAGAUCACUUCUGACUGCAAGGAGCUUGGAAAAGCAAGUAUCUGGAUCUUUUACCAGUUAAAUUUGGAGAUAGGUAUCUACCAGACUGGGGGAGAAGAGGAGAAGAAUGGCUGUUGAGUGCAGAUCAAUUUGUUUCCACUGAAGUCUAUGGAUGAAAUAUUUAUGCAUAGCCAAGGAGAAACUGCCAUGGUCAUCCCAGUCAUGUGCUGUAAGAGCAAUGACAGCAAUGGAAUAAGGAGGAGUCCGAAAGCCACCAUGCCCAGAACCACCAGCCUCAAGCAAAUCAUCUUCCCUUGUCCUCUUGCUCUCAUCUUACCCUUCCAGACAUGGUAUACUAUUUUUAUGUGUGUUCUUAUUUUCUCAUGAGUAGACGCAUUAACGUGAUGAGUUUAACUACAGUUCAUUUUAUUUAUGAGUCUCUGGUUAAAUGUUAAUAGCCUGAAGUCAAGUAUCAAACAAGAAUUUAGGGCUAAAGAUCUUGCAAGUUGUACUUACUGCCUAUGCAACAACGUUAGGAUCCCGCCAAUCCUGUUUCUUUAUAUAUUUUGAUGUUAUCAAGAGUGAACACUUACUAUGCUUUUUAAAUGCCCAUAACUGUUCUAAGCAUCCUGGAUAUGUUAACUCAUUUAAUCCUCAUGAUGUGCACAUGAGACAGCUACUAUUAUUAUCAUCUAUUUUAAGGUCGAGGAAACUAAAUCAAUAGAGAGGUUAAGUAAUUCACCCAAAGUCACACAGCUGGUGAGAGGCAAAACUAGCUAUGACUACAGAAUAUGUGCUGUUAACAAUCAUACUACCAUCUGUGCCUUUUUACAGUUGGUAGAUAAAUCUUUUAUGAUCAUGUCUUAUUAUAAGAAGGAGUAAAAAUUAUUCGAUUGGACGUAUGCUGGAUUGUUCAUAUUGCAUAGACAGUGAUGGGGAGUUUUCUCCAGUUGUUUAAGUCUGUUUUAUGUUUUGAAUAUACAGCUUGCACCAUUACAAUAUCACUUGACAUGCUCUCUAAUAUCACCAUGCAGAUUCAUUCUCAUCCUGUCUAUAGUGUGAAUAACUCAUAGCCUCAAGAUUAGCACAAUAAAAA
ensembl:lincRNA